UUUUGCGAUACUUGGUGUGAAUUGCAGAAUCCCGUGAACCAUCGAGUCUUUGAACGCAAGUUGGCGCCCGAGGCCAUCCGGUCGAGGGCACGCCUGCCUGGGCGUCACGC
rnacentral:rRNA from 1 species